GAGUUUGAUCGUGGCUCAGAUUGAACGCUGGCGGCAUGCCUUACACAUGCAAGUCGAACGGCAGCAUGAUCUAGCUUGCUAGAUUGAUGGCGAGUGGCGAACGGGUGAGUAAUACAUCGGAACGUGCCCUGUAGUGGGGGAUAACUAGUCGAAAGAUUAGCUAAUACCGCAUACGACCUGAGGGUGAAAGUGGGGGACCGCAAGGCCUCAUGCUAUAGGAGCGGCCGAUGUCUGAUUAGCUAGUUGGUGGGGUAAAGGCCCACCAAGGCGACGAUCAGUAGCUGGUCUGAGAGGACGAUCAGCCACACUGGGACUGAGACACGGCCCAGACUCCUACGGGAGGCAGCAGUGGGGAAUUUUGGACAAUGGGCGAAAGCCUGAUCCAGCAAUGUCGCGUGUGUGAAGAAGGCCUCGGUGUAAG
rnacentral:rRNA from 1 species